rnacentral:rRNA from 1 species
UACGUAGGGCGCAAGCGUUGUCCGGAAUUAUUGGGCGUAAGGAGCUCGUAGGUGGCGUGUCGCGUCUGCCGUGAAAGCCCAUGGCUUAACUGUGGGUCUGCGGUGGAUACGGGCAGGCUAGAGGCUGGUAGGGGCAAGCGGAAUUCCUGGUGUAGCGGUGAAAUGCGCAGAUAUCAGGAGGAACACCAAUGGCGAAGGCAGCACUCUGGGACGUGACUGACGCUGAGGAGCGAAAGCAUGGGGAGCGAACAGG